UACGAAGGGGGCUAGCGUUGCUCGGAAUCACUGGGCGUAAAGCGCGCGUAGGCGGCUUUCUAAGUCAGGGGUGAAAUCCUGGAGCUCAACUCCAGAACUGCCUUUGAUACUGGAGAGCUUGAGUCCGGGAGAGGUGAGUGGAACUCCGAGUGUAGAGGUGAAAUUCGUAGAUAUUCGGAAGAACACCAGUGGCGAAGGCGGCUCACUGGCCCGGUACUGACGCUGAUGUGCGAAAGCGUGGGGAGCAAACAGG
rnacentral:rRNA from 1 species